UUAUUAAAAGAAAAAGGGGUGAAAAGAACAAAGUUUUGUCCAUCUUUGUUCAUCAUAUCCUAAAGUUAGAGAAGAGAAAGGAGAGGAGAAAACUCUUGAAUGUUCGGUCACUUGGGGAAGAAAAUUGAAGGCAGUUCGUGUGUGGAUCUCGUCAGCAUAUCGUCGCAAACAGGACUUGACUGGUCUGACCUCUGUUUACUACGAACCAUAUUUCUCUCUGUACAAAAUUCAUAUGAAUAUGAGGUUUAUUUAU